UGAUAGACCAGGAAUUUGAUGGAAUCUC
rnacentral:piRNA from 1 species